rnacentral:sRNA from 1 species
GCCAGGUGUGGUGGCGCACACCUGUAAUCCCACCAACUCGGAAGGCUGAGACAGGAGGAUCACUAGUUUAAAGCCAUCCCCAGCAAUUUAUGGAGACCCUAAGCAACUUGAGACCCUGUCUCAA